AACGCCGCGUGGAGGAUGAAGGCCUUCGGGUUGUAAACUCCUUUUCUGAGGGAAGAGACAAAGGACGGUACCUUAGGAAUAAGUCUCGGCUAACUACGUGCCAGCAGCCGCGGUAAAACGUAGGAGGCAAGCGUUAUCCGGAUUUACUGGGCGUAAAGCGCACGCAGGCGGUUAUGUAAGUCGGACGUGAAAGCUCCCGGCUCAACUGGGAGAGGUCGUUCGAUACUGCGUAACUUGAGGUUAGGAGAGGGGAGUGGAAUUCCCGGUGUAGUGGUGGAAUGCGUAGAUAUCGGGAGGAACUCCAGUGGCGAAGGCGGCUCCCUGGCCUAUACCUGACGCUCAUGUGCGAAAGCGUGGGUAGCGAACGGGAUUAGAUACCCCGGUAGUCCACGCUGUAAACGAUGCGAACUAGGUGUUGGUGGUAUUGACCCUAUCAGUGCCGAAGUAAACGCGAUAAGUUCGCCGCCUGGGGACUACGGCCGCAAGGCUAAAACUCAAAGGAAUUGACGGGGACCCGCACAAGCAGCGGAGCGUGUGGUUUAAUUCGAUGCAACGCGAAGAACCUUACCUGGGCUUGACAUGAUCGUAGUAGUGAACCGAAAGGGGAACGAGUCUUCGGACAGCGAUCACAGGUGCUGCAUGGCUGUCGUCAGCUCGUGUCGUGAGAUGUUGGGUUAAGUCCCGCAACGAGCGCAACCCU
rnacentral:rRNA from 1 species